GUAACCGUUGACGACCAAUCAGGGAGAUUAGAAAAAUAUUUUGGAAAAUGGAAACCAAACUAUUUAGCUUGCUACCUAUCAAAGUGUUCAGAUGGAUACCCCUACCCGUUGUGUUGGAAGAGGCUGCAUCAACUCCCUGGAAAGAUGUUUGUGGUGCAGUCCCACAUAACACUUUUAUUGAGUGAUAAAUGAGCGUGUCCUCUUCAAGCUUGUGCAUGCAUUCAACAAGUUUUGGACGAAAGGGUUCAAAGUUCUCAAGUUCACUCAAAAAAGUCAAUAGUUCUGAACUGGGUUUGAAUUUUCUGUUUGAAUUAUUUAUCUUAUUAAUUAUCUUUUAAACUUCCAUUGGUUGAAAGCUAUUGCUCAGUUAUCACUUGGCUCAUGUAAAUUCUGUAGUUGCCCCUUUAAACAUCCUACGAUCAAUAUCCCCAUAGUGUUCACAUUUCUCUAAUGUAAAUGUAGCAACAUAAAUAUUAA